rnacentral:lncRNA from 1 species
AAAAUUUUAAAACAUAGAUGAGAUACAAUUUAUUGCAUAGAUAACAUAAAAGAGAAUGAUAAAAAAGAAAAUAAAGACAAAAAAUAAAAAAAAUAAUUUUUUCUUAUAUUUAUCUCAACAUCCACUCACAGAGUGCCACGUAGGCGUCUCCUAACCAUUGUUUUGUAUCUUAGCUAUUUACCAACAUUUUGCAUUUAAUUAAAUCACAAAUUCUUGUAAGAUCUGCCUAAAAACC